CGAGAGCUCGUUAGGCGCGCGCGCCCCGAGGAGUCUCUCCGAGAUAGCUUCUUGGGUCUUCUCUCUUUUCUCCUUGGGAUUUGACUAUUUGUCGAAGCUGUUGUCUGCGGGUUUCGACAUGCCGUCCUCUUUGCUGGGCGCGGUGAUGCCAGCCUCUGCGUCGGCCACAGCCCUGCAAGAAGCUCUGGAAAAUGCGGGGCGGUUAAUCGAUCGUCAGUUGCAAGAAGACCGCAUGUACCCGGACCUUUCCGAGCUGCUCAUGGUGUCUGCCCCAAGUAAUCCCACUGUUUCGGGCAUGUCAGAUAUGGAUUAUCCCCUACAAGGACCUGGUUUGCUAUCAGUACCCAACCUUCCAGAGAUCAGUUCCAUCCGAAGAGUUCCUCUCCCACCUGAACUUGUUGAACAGUUUGGACAUAUGCAGUGUAACUGCAUGAUGGGUGUUUUUCCUGCCAUCAGCAGAGCUUGGCUCACAAUUGACAGUGAUAUAUUCAUGUGGAACUAUGAGGAUGGAGGAGACCUUGCCUAUUUUGAUGGACUUAGUGAGACUAUCCUUGCUGUGGGACUUGUGAAACCAAAAGCUGGCAUCUUUCAGCCUCAUAUACGACACCUCUUGGUUUUGGCAACCCCUGUGGAUAUAGUAAUUCUUGGACUCAGCUAUGCCAAUUUGCAGACAGGUUCUGGGAUUCUUAAUGAUAGCAUGUCUGGCGGAAUGCAGUUGCUUCCAGAUCCUUUGUAUUCUCUUCCCACUGAUAAUACUUACCUUUUAACAAUAACUUCCACUGAUAAUGGAAGAAUUUUCUUGGCUGGAAAGGAUGGCUGUUUAUAUGAAGUAGCAUACCAAGCAGAAGCAGGUUGGUUUAGUCAAAGAUGUAGGAAGAUAAACCACUCAAAGAGCUCACUUUCUUUCCUUGUUCCUUCCUUGCUACAAUUUACAUUCUCAGAAGAUGAUCCUAUUGUUCAAAUUGCAAUUGAUAAUUCAAGAAAUAUUUUAUAUACACGAUCAGAGAAAGGAGUAAUACAGGUUUAUGAUUUGGGCCAAGAUGGACAGGGAAUGAGUAGAGUUGCCUCAGUUUCACAGAAUGCAAUUGUCUCUGCUGCUGGAAACAUUGCAAGGACCAUUGAUCGUUCUGUUUUUAAGCCAAUUGUUCAGAUAGCAGUGAUUGAAAAUUCUGAAUCAUUGGACUGUCAGUUAUUGGCUGUCACACAUGCAGGUAUCAGGUUAUAUUUCAGCACUUGUCCAUUUAGACAGCCAUUAGCACGGCCUAACACACUGACUCUGGUUCACGUUCGCUUACCUCCUGGAUUCUCAGCAUCUUCAACAGUGGAAAAGCCUUCAAAAGUACAUAAGGCUCUUUAUAGUAAAGGUAUCCUAUUGAUGGCAGCCUCAGAAAAUGAGGAUAAUGAUGUUUUAUGGUGCAUCAACCAUGAUACGUUUCCUUUCCAAAAGCCAAUGAUGGAAACCCAGAUGACAACCCGCGUUGAUGGUCAUUCAUGGGCUCUUUCUGCAAUAGAUGAAUUGAAAGUAGAUAAGAUAAUUACACCUUUAAAUAAGGAUCAUAUUCCGAUAACUGACUCUCCAGUUGUUGUACAGCAACACAUGUUACCUCCAAAGAAAUUUGUUCUCCUCUCAGCACAGGGUAGUCUUAUGUUUCAUAAACUUAGACCUGUAGAUCAACUGAGGCACUUACUUGUGAGCAACGUGGGUGGAGAUGGAGAAGAGAUUGAAAGAUUCUUUAAGUUGCAUCAGGAAGACCAGGCUUGUGCAACUUGCCUUAUCCUAGCUUGCUCCACUGCUGCCUGUGACAGAGAAGUAUCUGCUUGGGCAACGCGGGCUUUCUUCAGGUACGGUGGUGAAGCACAGAUGAGAUUUCCAGCUACUCUUCCCACUCCGAGUAAUGUUGGUCCCAUCUUGGGAUCUCCCGUUUAUGCUAGUUCUCCUGUUCCCAGUGGUAGUCCAUAUCCAAAUCCAUCCUUUUUGGGAACACCAUCUCAAGGUAUACAGCCUCCUGCUAUGUCAACUCCUGUGUGUUCCAUGGGAAACCCAGCAGCUCAGGCCACAAGUAUGAGUUGUAUGACUGGCCCAGAGAUUGUAUACUCUGGAAAACACAAUGGUAUUUGCAUUUAUUUUUCUCGGAUAAUGGGAAAUAUUUGGGAUGCUAGCUUGGUUGUGGAGAGGGUAUUCAAGAGUGGUAACAGAGAGAUCAUGGCAAUUGAAAGUAGUGUUCCCUGCCAACUUCUGGAGUCAGUGCUACAAGAAUUAAAAGGUUUGCAGGAAUUUCUAGACAGAAAUUCCCAAUUUGCAGGAGGACCAUUAGGAAAUCCAAAUGCUACUGCCAAAGUGCAGCAGAGGCUGAUGGGAUUCAUGCGUCCUGAAAAUGGAAAUACUCAGCAAAUGCAACAGGAGUUACAGAGGAAGUUUCAUGAGGCUCAACUGAGUGAAAAGGUGUCACUUCAGGCAAUUCAGCAGUUGGUUCGAAAAUCAUACCAGGCCCUGGCUUUAUGGAAACUUCUUUGUGAACACCAGUUUACUGUCAUUGUAGGAGAACUUCAGAAGGAAUUUCAAGAGCAGCUGAAGAUCACCACUUUCAAAGAUCUGGUAAUCAGGGACAAAGAACUCACAGGAGCAUUAAUUGCUUCUCUUAUCAACUGCUAUAUCAGAGAUAAUGCUGCUGUUGAUGGCAUUAGUUUACAUUUACAGGACAUCUGCCCACUUCUGUAUAGCACUGAUGAUGCAGUUUGUUCUAAGGCGAAUGAGCUGCUCCAGCGUUCCCGACAAGUUCAAAGUAAGUCUGAAAAGGAAAGAAUGUUAAGGGAAUCAUUAAAGGAGUAUCAAAAGAUCAGCAAUCAAGUGGAUCUUUCCAAUGUUUGCACUCAGUAUAGACAAGUGCGUUUUUAUGAGGGUGUGGUGGAACUUUCUCUUACUGCUGCAGAGAAGAAAGAUCCUCAGGGUCUUGGACUUCAUUUCUAUAAACAUGGAGAGCCAGAAGAAGACAUGGUUGGACUUCAGGCUUUCCAAGAAAGAUUAAACAGCUACAAGUGUAUUACAGACACCCUUCAAGAACUCGUAAAUCAAAGUAAGGCUGCUCCUCAGUCUCCUAGUGUACCCAAAAAACCUGGUCCUCCAGUGCUGUCAUCUGAUCCCAAUAUGCUGAGCAAUGAAGAAGCAGGACACCACUUUGAACAAAUGCUCAAAUUGGCUCAGCGAUCCAAGGAUGAGCUCUUUAGUAUUGCUCUUUAUAAUUGGUUAAUACAAGCUGACCUUGCAGAUAAGCUACUACAGGUUGCUUCUCCAUUUCUGGAGCCACAUCUAGUUCGAAUGGCCAAAGUGGAUCAAAACAAAGUUCGUUACAUGGAUUUACUCUGGAGGUAUUAUGAGAAGAACAGAAGUUUUAGUAAUGCCGCUCGUGUCCUGUCCAAAUUAGCUGACAUGCAUAGCACUGAAAUUUCACUUCAGCAACGGCUAGAGUACAUUGCCCGAGCCAUUCUUAGUGCCAAAAGUUCCACUGCGAUUUCAUCAAUAGCUGCUGAUGGUGAAUUCCUUCAUGAAUUAGAAGAAAAAAUGGAAGUUGCUAGGAUUCAACUUCAAAUACAAGAAACACUACAAAGACAGUAUUCUCAUCAUUCUUCUGUACAGGAUGCAGUUUCUCAGUUGGAUUCUGAGUUAAUGGACAUAACUAAGCUUUAUGGGGAAUUUGCUGACCCAUUUAAACUUGCAGAGUGUAAACUUGGAAUAAUUCAUUGUGCGGGUUAUUCAGACCCCAUAUUGGUGCAGACCCUUUGGCAAGAUAUCAUAGAGAAAGAAUUGAAUGAUAGUGUAACAUUGAGCUCCACAGAUAGAAUGCAUGCUCUUAGUCUGAAGAUCGUGCUCCUUGGCAAAAUUUAUGCUGGCACACCUCGCUUCUUCCCUUUAGAUUUUAUUGUACAGUUUUUAGAGCAGCAAGUAUGUACUUUGAAUUGGGACGUAGGCUUUGUAAUUCAGACCAUGAAUGAAAUUGGAGUGUCAUUACCUAGACUAUUAGAAGUUUAUGAUCAACUAUUCAAAUCAAGAGAUCCAUUCUGGAACAGAAUGAAGAAGCCACUACACCUUUUGGAUUGUAUCCAUGUACUAUUAUUUAAAUAUGUUGCAAAUCCUAGCCAAGUUUCAAAUUGUGAGAGGAGAAGAUUUACAAAUCUCUGCCUGGAUGCUGUUUGUGGUUACCUGGUUGAGCUCCAGUCUAUGAGCUCUUCAGUAGCAGUACAAACCAUCACUGGGAAUUUUAAAUCUCUUCAAGCAAAGUUAGAACGACUUCACUGAUGAUUGUAAUGUAUUUUCAUUCAUGCAUUUUGAUCUGUAAAAUAAAAGCUCAGCUGGGUCCAGAUUAUUCAUUCUCAGGAUGCUUUAUCUCCAUAUUUUUUCUCUUAUUCAUGGAAGAAAAAUUAUGAUAAUAAUCCAGUCACAUCAUGGAAAUGAGGCACUGAAACAUCAAAUCUAAAGGUUUUGAAAGAGUUUAUAAUUUCCUUUUAUUCUCUAUAAAUAUCUUCAUUUCUUCAGAAUAUUUGUGAGUCCUCUAGUACAUCUUUUUAAAUUUUUUAAGUUUUAUUUUCCUCAUAUAUAAAUGAGAAAGUUGAAGCUAAGACUUAAAUCUAAUUUUGUAAGAACUGUGGCUAUUUUUUAUUUUGUUCUACUUAAAUACUAGUUACAAUACUAUUU